rnacentral:lncRNA from 1 species
GCUGAACUUUAAAUCUCAGUACAUUUAAUUUAGUAUUUGUGGUUAUUGAAAGGAUAUUAUCUAGUACAGAGACAAUAGGUAGUUAUACUAAAUGAUACACGACUUAUAUCAUACACCACAUACAUGUACAUAGUUGUUAAACUGUUUAAUUCGAUUACAUACACUGGUACCGGUGAUUCUUCUAAUCGAAUAUUUAAAGUACAACUACAGAACUUUGUGCAAUUUUAUUUUAUUUUCAACUUCUUUAAAUUAAAUUUCGUAUCGAACUAUCACAGAAAUUAUUUGUAAAAGUGUUAGCAAAGGUAGGGCUGUAUCAUGUGCUAUAUAUUUUUAUACAUUAGCUGUACAGUUUGGGGUGUCCAGUCAAGUCUGACAUAUGACUAAUUGUUACCUGAGCGUCACUGAUGAGUCUUGUGUAGAUAUUUAUUUGUUUAUUAUUCAACACUUUUCAAAUAGAGAAAGGGCGGGAACGGUAUUUGAUAAUCUACACACGGUCUGGUAUCUAUCAAGAGGUAGGGGUAUACUUAGACUACAUGCUUUAAGAUCAGUUCAGCAUGUUAUUAAUUGUAGUAUUUUUUAGAAACACGGAAGCCCUCCCCUUAUACUUCCGUACAAAUCCAUUAUCACAUUAAUGUAUAAAGAAGGUAUUAGUAGGCUACUUGUUUGGUCAUCUCUGUUGGAAAAAACAAGAAUCUGCCAAAUAAAAACUUCAGAAAUCUAUAGGACUUAAAAAGUCAGUAUUUAUAAAUUUAGAUGCAAUUUUUGGAGCCCUUUAUAUAUUGCUGUUCGGUAUGAACCAAUGCACCGUACUGAAGACUGUAUUUUGACUUAUAGAGGUUUACCUUUACAAAUUGUGACUUGAAUGAGAAUGGUCUCAUUGGCUUCACACCACCUCUUCUUGGAGGACGCCAUAUCACAUAACAUGUGACAUUUGUUCACAGUAUGUCCAUCUUGUAUACCCGGUUAUAAAAUCAUAAAUACCUAACAUAAUUUUUAAUUUCUAUAUGUAAAUUGUACUAUUUUUGAAAUUUCAUGGGCCAAAUGAUAACUCUUCCUUUAAAAGGGAACAAACUUGGAUUAAACCUAAUUAAUAAGUAUCCCUGAAUCUUCCUUGUUCAACCCUACUUUUUUCUAGGGACCACUGCAAUUAUGUUUUACAUCGGUAGCAGUCUUUUUAUACGCCUGUUUACGGAACGUAUUAUGGUGUAUAAACAGUAGUAUUCUUUUGUCCGUCCGCCCGUCCGUCCAUAUUCAACAUGUCGGACAAUAACUCAGAAAUGCUUUAACCAGUUUGCAUGAGUUUGGUGAAUUGUUCAAAUCCAUUGAUAUGAGCUCCCUUUCGAUUUUUAUGACUUUAGAAUUCACGAGUUGUAGACUGAUCCCUACAAACGAUAAUAUACGAAACACUCAUAUAUUUUUUAAAAAGGUUAUAAAUAAAGUCGACGUCUCCCAUUUGAAUGCGACAUGUACCUGGUUGUUUUAUGCGUCAGUCAUUUCAAUUGAAUAUUAUGUUUUACCUAUUUUUGAUAUUUGUACGGUCCAUUUAAAGUAUUUUAAAUAUUUUUAAAUUAAAUCAAUUGAAUAGAACUCUCCAUUUGUGAUUUAAGUGUGUAAAGUAUACAUUUCAAUGUUUAUUGAAAGUUACUAUUCAUCAAAAUCUGCUCUUUCCGAAUUUUACACGAGACAGUAGACUAUUUCCGAACUAAAUAAUAAUGUACAUUUCUAUCUUGUCUCAUCUAAAUCAAAAUGCAUGAAUAAUUAUGUGUAUCGUCUGGAGCAUAAUGCCUUUUUAAAGUUAUUCCAAGUAAGCUUCGUUCACAUUUUCCUGGUACGAAAUUAAUACCUAGAAGGUAUUAAAAACAUGAUGUCUUUGUACAAUCAUUUACAAAGAUGUAAAUCUUUCAAAUGAAUUAGAUCACUUUUCCACGAAAUCACGUGAUAAAACUAUUUUCCUCCAACAUAUAAACAAUUUCUGUUCUAUAUAGAACAUCAUAAUUUUCAGAAAGCAUUGAAAGCAGACACAACAUUCCUGUUGGUAAUUAUAUUUUAAUACAUUUUUUUUUAAUUCAAGUGGUAAAUAUGUUUCUUGCAUUUAUGUAAAAUAAUGAAAGUAAUUUGAAAUGACUGUUAAAGUAUAAUCCUGCUUUAGUAAGGUUCGACACUCGAUACCUAUUCAUCAUUGAUCUUUUUUGAAGGUGGAAAAAGGGUUGGAGGGCUGGAAGCGUUUCUGUUGAAGGCAAUCUAAAACCAUGCUUGGGAAUUAAAACAUUUUCAAAAAAUGCAUCAUACUCAUUCAAUAUUUUUCUGAUGAAUAUUUUCUUAUUUAAAUGUUGUUUAAAUUAAUUCUUGGUAUAAACUCACCAAAUUGUGGCUUGAUAAGCUAGGUAAUAUAAAGGCAUUUCGUGUGUUUUCAUUUUCUUAUGUUUAUAUCACAGACAUAAAAAUGAUAUGGCAUGAUUUGCAAUGAGACAACUAUAUCGAUCUAAGUUCAAACAAAUUGAAUGUAAACAAUAUUAAGCAUUCAACUGUUUCAAGUAAUAAUUACAUCCCAGCUCUUUUGUUCUAACUGGGGUGAUCUGAGCCGGAUCACCCCUACCAGAUCACCCCAGUUUAAGUUUUUUGUUAUGCAUGCUUUCCUUUGUUCUGUAACAUUUUGGCGGGAAUGACAAAUCCAGUAUAAAAAAAAAAGAAAAACAAAAAAAAAAAAAAAAAAAAAAAAAAAAAAAAAAAAAAAAAAAAAAAAAAAAAAAAAAAAAAAAAAAAAAAAAAAAAAAAAAAAAAAAAAAAAAAAAAAAAAAAAAAAAAAAAAAAAAAAAAAAAAAAAAAAAAAAAAAAAAAAUUUAUAAUUAAUUAUACGGAGAAGACUAUCUAUCAAAAUCCACGUAGAAAAAAUCCAGUGUAUAUGCUGGGGUUCGAACUCAAGACCUUUAGCAUAUCAAGCCACGACACAUACCACUACACCAGGACGACUGGAUACGAACUAUUAGAAAUUUAACAUACUUAAAGGAAGCAAGAUAUUUUUUAUAACUGGGGCGAGUUGGCAGACCUUUACUCAGUGGGGUUUAAACCCUUUUCGUUAAAUAAAUGAGUUGUAAGACUGAUUGUUCAAUUUGAUUUUACACUUUUUUAAAGUUGGGCGAGUCGGUUACAAGAGUGGGGCGAUUUUUUCAUAAAGUGGCGAUAUAGUGUGGGCCGAUUGGCCAGUGGGGCGAGUUGACAUUAUUUGAUAUCUACUCAUCGUGUUUGGGGGUCAUAAAGGGUAUACAUCAUAUAGUAAUAUCUAAAGUAUAUUAUAAUGGUUGUGUGGCGUUCUAAACUAGAUUUUAUGAAUUGUAAAUGGUUUUUCGUCUAUUCUUAAUCAGCUGGGAUGUAAAAUAGUUAUCCCAUUCGGACUUGGUGUGUCAGUGUAAGAUCACCCUCUGGCCUCCGGCCAUCGGGAUGAUCUUACACUGACACACCGCGUCCUUAUGGGAUAACUAUUAAAGGUAGUCUAAGAUAAACCUACAAAGAUUCUUAAUCAACUUUUCCCCUUAAUUGUUCGUCAAUAUUUGUUUUCAGUAAAAAAAUAAUCCCAAUAUGAAACGGCAAUCUUAUGGGUGGCCAGAUGACGAUGAUGAUGAUGACGAUGCUGAUUGUUGUAUACAAUGACACUUCCGGGUAAGUUAAUUUACACAUCUUCAAGAUAGUUAUUACUAAAUUCUAAACACUUUACAGGGACAGAUACAGCCAUUUAAAAAAAGGGGGGGGGGGAUUCAAACAUUAGUCCCGAUACAAAUGUAUUGAUCGACAUUGGAUCCGCCACUGCCUUAUAUCUACUUUCUUUAUGACAUAAAAAAUUGAGCGUUUUUUUUUGUUUAUCUCAAAAAGGUUCGAAAACCUGGUUGCAAGUUAAAGAACUUUGUAUGAUAAUUGUAGUGAAAACUUGAUACGUGCGUGAAGAACACAGAGUCAUCCUGAUAUUAACAUAUAAUAAUACUUAGUGGUUUGAUAAUUUAACUCUAUACCAUUUUCGAUUUUUAAAUUCCAUGGCUUUCAUAUAAUUGGUUUUAAGUGUUCCAGAUGAAAGCAAAUAAAAAAUAACCUUCGGAGUUCGUAGCUUUUGAUUUUGAUUGCCAAUGAGACGAAAGACAUGAUCGAAUUGACGAUGAAUAAAAGUAUCGAUUAAUAUCAUUGAAUAUUAACAAGUACAAUUUAGGUGUACAUUGAGAAGACAAAUGCACAAAAUGUGUUAUUUUAAGUAUGUUUUCAGCUUUUCAAUGAAUUUGUUACAGUGGCUUUUUACUAUAUAUUUUUUUUAGAUUUGAUAUGUUUCAACAGCAUAAGAAGAUGUCCAGCUGAAGUAUAUUUUUGAAACAUUUCAGAACAUAUACUUACAUUAUGUGAAACAUCUUAUGAUAACAAAAUUGUUCAAAAUGCAG